AAAUGUGUGUGCGUGUGUGUGUGUCUUUGCACAUUUUUUAUACAAAAACAUCCAGACUGUGGGAAACUCAGGACUAAUCAGGACUAAUCAGGACAUUUUCAGUGUCAGGCUCAACCAGCUGAGGUGGGAAUUUGGAGGUUCCAGGUUGGAAAAUUCUGAAUUCCUCGGUGUCAUGAAUGCAGAAUGAAGCUGCACAUGGGGACGAGGAACGAUGGAGAAGGAAUUUUUUAUGUUGUUGAACUUAUAUUGUUUCUGUUCAGACUGUUCCAAAAGAAGAAGCAUCUCUUUAAUUCAUCCCUGGACAUCCCUGGAAAGUUUAUUGUUGAAGAAUAUUGUUAAUACUAUUGUUAAUAAUUCAUAGCAGUUACUGCAUAAUUCAUAGUAGAUAUUAAAUAAUUCAUUCUUAGCUAAUUUUACAGUGCUAAAAGGUGUGGCAUGGUGUGGAUUCUGGAAUUAAGGAGUUUCAUUCCACAACGCUGUAUAUCCAUAUGUAACAAUUUUGGGUAAUAGGUUUUGAAAAGAAUAACAGCUGACAUAAAAUAGAAAACACCUUUUUAUUACUCUUAUAAAAGUGGUAUUACUCAUAAUGUAAGAUUGCAAUUUAUUGUAAGUGUAAAGCCCACUCCCAACAACAUAUAUCAUGAAAAAAAGGAAAAUUCUUGAAAGUGCUUUAUAAUGCGUUUUGGAAUGAAACCCUUUAAUUGUCUUACACCCAAUGUGUUAGUAAAUUCCUACUUUGGGGUGCAAUCUAUCUGGAGACUGGUAGAAGUGUGUAUAACCUCUCCAAGGUCUUCCAAAAGAGAGAUUAGGCAUUUCAGAACCGACUGAUCAGUACAAUGUUAAGUGAUGAAAACUGUUGUAAUUAACUUUAGGAUACCGAACCAAUAACAAAAGGGUACAAUAAACACCAAUUAAGUGCACUGUGAAAAUAAGACCAGUGCUGCAAACAGUGCACACUUUUUGGUGUAGUGAGUAGCAUCUGAGUGGUGUUACAAAUUUUAUAACAAAAACAAAAAUCUUAACAACUGCAAAAACAACUUAUAGCAGUUCUUGAGUAAUUCUAUGCAGUUCCCGAGUAGUUAAUAGUACUAGGAAUGCACCAAUCCACAUUUUCCUCUCUUGGUACCAGGAUAUCUGAACUCUGUUAAGGGCUAAUACUGAUGCAAUACCAGUACCCUGUUAAGGCAAAACACAGAAAAUGAUUGCAAUUCUGAAAUGAUAUGCAUUGUUACAGUUUUAUAAUAACCAUGAAGAGGAAACAUUAUUAAACAUAGAUCCAUCCAUUUACCAAUGCUGAUCCAGUAGGUCAGAUCUGUGCAUUACUAGUAGUUCCUGAAUAAUUCGUGGUAAUAACUGAGUACUAAGUCUUACAAUGAAAGCAGUUUGAUAGUAAUUCAGUUUGAGAUUACUCUCUUCAUUCUAGAUGUAAAUGUGUGAGCUGUUGUGUGUUCAAACACAACAACAGAAACCCAAUCUGGUCCUGUACGGUGUGUGUCGCUCUGAGCAGUCUUUAUUAGCACAGCCCUGCCAUGCUAGAGUAUCACUGUCACUGCCCUUACAGCAGGUGACCAUUCCAGAAUAACCUGAACGAAAUUUGUCCCUCAUGAAAGUAGAGCUAAUGCAGCCUGACCAGAGAAGUUACUAUAGCUGUGCAUAGAGCAUAAUAGACCGAUAAAAAUUUCAAAAGAAGACAAUUACUGUUUAUUUGUUAAAUUUAGUCCUGUGCAAAAGUGCAGCAUAUUUUAUAUUUUCCUAUAUGUUAAACUCAGCAAACAUAUAUAUAAAUGGUGCACUAAUUUGUGGAAAAAUGCCACAUUUUACUUUAUUCCCGGUAAAGUAUGUGUUCAGUUAAAUUUACUUUGAAAAUCAGUAAAAGAUACAACUUGACCUAAACUUUUUACACAUGACAGAACAUCACUGUUUAAAUUUUGCAUACAAUUGCAUAUUGUUGUAUAAAAAUGCAUGUGAUGUCAUGUCAGUUCUGGUCGGAUCACAUUUUCUUUGAUCACAUUUUUACUGACAAAAGUGGUGAAACUAGCAUAUGCAGAAAUGUUUAUUAAUGUGUUUUGUCCCUGUAUACCUAAACUGAAAACAGUAAAUUAUUGACCUGUACAUAUGUGUACAGAAGGCAAGUGUGUUUUUGCUGUUCUUAGUCAGCUAAAGUUCUUGUUUGCUUUGCUCUUUCCCUCAAGGACGCAGCCUUUUUAACUGCAGCCAACUCAAGCUUAAUGCCCUGAUAACUAGGAGGCCCUUAUAUGACCUUAUAUGGCAGGCUAUGGAUGACCCUGACUAUAUGAAUGAAAUUAUACUAUUAUAAUACCACUGCUGUCUGAGGACUUUGCACUGUAUGUCCAAGUGUUUGUGGGCAUGGUGAGCUUAGGAUCAUCUGUGGCUCCAUCAGAGAGUCUCUUUCUGUGUAUGUGCAGUUGAACAUCUAAAUCAGCAAUGACUGCACUUUAAAGUUGCUGAAUUCACUAAUUAGAAGGGUUGUCUGGAUGCUUUUGGACAGGGAAUCUAUAAGACGAAUAGAAAGAAAAUGAUAGUUUAAUACAUAAAAUUUAUUGAGUUAUUUAAAAGUUCUCAAAUCAAAGUCUCUUUUCUCUUGAUGACCCGUUUCCCACACUGCUUUUUCACAGCCAAUUUAGUAGUUUUAAUAUUGAUUUUACUGAGUCACUGUAAAACUACAUACAAGGUAAAAUAUAAGUUAAUAUCAGUAGAAACUUCAAAUAAAGUAUUUGUUUAAUAUUUA